GAUGAACGCUAGCUACAGGCUUAACACAUGCAAGUCGAGGGGCAGCGGGAUUGAAGCUUGCUUCAAUUGCCGGCGACCGGCGCACGGGUGAGUAACGCGUAUCCAACCUUCCGUACACUCAGGGAUAGCCUUUCGAAAGAAAGAUUAAUACCUGAUGGUAUCUUAAGCACACAUGUAAUUAAGAUUAAAGAUUUAUCGGUGUACGAUGGGGAUGCGUUCCAUUAGGUAGUAGGCGGGGUAACGGCCCACCUAGCCAACGAUGGAUAGGGGUUCUGAGAGGAAGGUCCCCCACACUGGUACUGAGACACGGACCAGACUCCUACGGGAGGCAGCAGUGAGGAAUAUUGGUCAAUGGGCGAGAGCCUGAACCAGCCAAGUCGCGUGGAGGAAGACUGCCCUACGGGUUGUAAACUCCUUUUAUAAGGGGAUAAAGUUGGCCAUGUAUGGCCAUUUGCAGGUACCUUAUGAAUAAGCAUCGGCUAAUCCGUG
rnacentral:rRNA from 1 species